rnacentral:rRNA from 1 species
UUAAAUUGAAGAGUUUGAUCAUGGCUCAGAUUGAACGCUGGCGGCAGGCCUAACACAUGCAAGUCGAGCGGCAGCGGGAAGUAGUUUACUACUUUGCCGGCGAG